rnacentral:lncRNA from 1 species
AUUUGCCCAAGGACACAGGGCUAGUAAGUGGCAGAAGGCAGGGCUCCUGGUUCCUCUUACUCUGGAUCCUAAACUCAUAACCGUCUUGAAAAACCCAAAUGUACACAUUGAGACUGUAAGUGGGAUAGGAUCCUUCGAAUUACAAAAGGAUUCAUCAGAAUAUUCUCUAAGCUCCAAAAAUACCUUUAGCUUCUGUCCAUAAAAGCCAUAAUUUUAUUUUCUGGAGUUCUGUGUCCGCAUUUGAAGUGACACAUAUCUUGAAUCUAAUAUAUAGACUUUCGCUCUUUGGGGAGGGUCGCUCCUAAAACUUUCAUCAAAUCCGUUCAUUCUGUUCAUAGUUAACAUCCACCUUACUGUCUUAUCGGUUUUGAAUAAAUUUAGUGAGGAGCUUUGGGCCAGGUAAAUAUAAUUUAAGUAUGAAUUUUAUAAUUAUACAUGUGUAUAUGUUCACACAUAAUCAAAUCUAAUCCAAUGGAUAGCCCGAAAAAGUGAGAGUAUAGGGUUUUCAUGGUGGAGAAGGAGUUGGGGGCUUUCUUCUUGAAUCAGGCGUCAGCUUGAUUUAUAGAUGUUUUAUCUCAUUAACCUUAAUGUCACGGAACUAAUUAGUAACUUUGGAACCUGCAAAACACACUCAUUCCCAUAGCUCUUUAACUUCACCGUGUACCAGAUGAAACUGGACCCAGUUAUUCUGAAUCUUAGACAUCUUUUGAAAGGCGUACAGGAAAUGCAUAUCAAACUAGAUGUGGAUCCCGAUUUUUCCCUUUUGGCCGCACACCAUGUUUCAUCAAAACCAUCUGAAUCCUUCAAACCUCUUGCUUCACAGACAGAGAUAUGUUGCAAUUACCCCAGUUUGGGUAAAGUUGACCCAGGAACUUAGGGAGAGUCCCCAGGAUCUCACCGCCCGCCUUCUGCCUGCAGGCGAACAUCAGGGCAGCCAUGUUGGAACCCAGCCCUGUUCUGUUGGCUGCCGUCUUGAGGCUGGAGAGGGACCCUCAGGUACUAAUGGCCCUAUAGGCAUCCUUUUCCUUCUCUUUCCCUGUUCUCACUCCUGGGAUCAAGACCCCGAGGCACAGGUAGUUCCAGCCUUUCUUCCCUUCCAGCUUUCUAAGGGAGGAUUCUGAGCUGCUUGGCUCCCCUGCCCCCAUUUCUUACGGCUGAAUUAGAUGAUGGCUGUGAUGGAAGGAUGCUAGAAGUCAGACACUUAAUCUGCGUAAGAAAACAUGGGAAGCUGCUCUCUGGAGAGAGAAUGGGCUGGGUAUAGCUGUUGAGUGGGAAUUUGGGUGAGAAAAAUGGCUAUUUUAAGAAACGUCUUGGAGUUCCCAUUAUGGCUCAGUGGGUUGAGAACCCGACUAGUCUCUGUGAGGAUGUGGGUUGGAUCCCAGGCCUUGCUCAGUGGGUUAAGGGUCCAGUGUUGCCAAAGUGAGGUGUAGGUAGCAGAUGCAGCUUGGGUCUGGCAUUGCUGUGUCUGUGGUGUAGGCCGGCAGCUGCAGCUAUGAUUUGACUCUUAGCCUGGGAACUUCCAUAUCUACAGUGUAGCCCUAAAAAGGAAGAAAUGAAAAGAAACUUCUCAAAGAAUUACAGUAUUUUUAAGGCAUUUGCAGAUCAAUUUAUAUUUCUUUUGCAUAGAUACCAUGUGAAGAUGGAACUUCUUAUGGUAGAAAAGGGGCUCAGUUUUAUUCAAAUUACAUUUCAAAUAAUUCUCUGAGGAAAAAAAGUGAUUUGGGUAGAAAAACCCAAGUGCUGAUUUUAUAGUGGGCUUUCUGAAUUUGCAUGGUCUUGGAACCGGACUGUGAAGGGGGGGCCUGUCAUGAAAUCUUAUCAAGUGGGUGCCCUUGGACUUGUCGGUGAAGCUGAGGUUUCUUUUGGGGUGAUUUCAUGCAAAGAGCAAACUCCAGUGCUGGAGUAAGUUGACACCAAACUUUAAUCUCUUUCCUCACUUUAGUUUGAAAAUGGUCUAGAUUGCUAACAUAGAGGAGAUCAUUGUGCGGGCCCUUGCUCCUUGGGUGCCAGACUGAUGUUCUAAUGCCAUUUGAUAUGCCUCCCGGCUGAAUGACUCAGCCCUGGCCUCAAGGACCCUCCGCAGGCUCUCCCUCCCUCAGGGGUGCAGGUGUGUCCCCACCUCGCUCAGAGGCCAGGAAACUAACCACAAUCUCCUGGCUAGAGACGCAGGCUUCUGCCUUGGAGGCAAAACAGGGUGAAACACAGGCAGGCAGGAUCCCAAACCACAGAAGCUCAAGUGAGGUCAUCCUUGUGAACCUGACAACUCCCUGUCUCUCUCGGUCAACAAAAAGAAACAUAGACCCAUUCAAAAAUGGCUCUGAAAGACAGAGAAUGCGCAUGGCUAUGGCAACUUGCCACUGGAUGCUAUUCCAAAGCAACUGAGAAAGUUAAUUAGCCAUCCUUUCACAAGCCAAGAAAAGUGCAAUGAUACGUUCACACCACCUUAUAGCAGGACAGUUGAGUACAGGAGCUUAAAUCACUUUUCUGGCAGCCAGUGAGUACAACGUCUGAUGGCGUGUUCCCUUCUCAUAUGCACCUGGCAACUCGAGGCACCACGUGCUGGGCAGGAACCAGGCUUCCAGGAGAUGUGGCAGAGACGUUGGCAGGAUUGUCCCUCUGUGGGACAGCCUCUCUGAGACGGUUAGGAAAUAGGUGGAAGGUGAGGUUGAGGGAGGCGGGAAGUCAUGAUGGAAAAUGAUUAUGCCUUUGAAAGUAGUUAUUCAUGGAAACUUUUUAGCUUAAAUGUGGACCCCAGAGUUCCUGUAGUGGCUCAGUGGAAACGAAUCUGACUAGUAUCCAUGAGGGUUCGGGUUUGAUUCCUGGCCCCGCUCAGUGGGUUAAGGUUCAGGUGUUGCUGUGAGCUGUGGUAUAGGUUGCAGAUGCAGCUCAGUCUGGCCUUGCUGUGGCUGUGAGUUUUGACCCCUAGCCUGGAAACCUCCAUAUAUGGUGGGUAUGGCCCUAAAAAGCAAAAAAACAAAAACAAAUCAAAAGUGUACCCCAGUCCAAGGCGGAGGUAGAUAGAUGAGCCAUUGGGAAUGCAUGAUAUCUACUUACUCGGUUCACUUGCAGGAAUCAAGCAAAUGAAAUUGAUGACAAAAAUGGCCCUGCUUUGGGAGGCAUUCUCUCAUAUUCACAAUGUAUUUAAAUAAUCAUUAGGACAAAGGGCCUGGCAUUUCGAAGACUCUGUCAGAAAUAUGCAGCCCAAUUUGUCCCAGGGCAGGAUGAGAAUGGAUUUAUUUUGGUUGAAAUCCUAACUUCUAUUGUCAAGAUUAUGCAUAAAGUCUGGAUAAUGCUACACAAUU